GGGUUUAAAUCCCAGCCCGGCUCAGCGCUGGGCACUCAGACCCGGCUCCCGGCAGCAUCAUGAAGUCAGGGGCCAUCUUCCUCCUCCUGGGCCUCCUGGCUCUCUGGGCCCAGCUGCCGCCUGCAUCUGGAGGGAGCCGUAGGAGCUGCCCAAAGCCGGUUGGCGCUGGGCACUGCGCGGAGUUAUGCGGCGUUGGCGGUUCCUGUCCCAAAGGAGAGAAGUGCUGCAGUAACGGGUGUGGCCACCAGUGCAUGAGAGUGUCUGGAGGGUCUCCCUAACGCCCGUCUGCCUGAACCCAGGCGCUGAGGGGACCUGCUGUCUCCACCCCCGUGACCGAGAACAAUCGCCGAGAACGGAUCAGCCUGCAAAGGCCCCACUUCCAGGGACCUCCCCCUGCUCCCCUCACUCUGCCCAGCCCCUUUGGCUGCUCCAGCUGCCCUCCGACUACAUCUGCCGCAUGACGUCACCGGCGCCUCCAUGCACCGGAGGCUGGGUGGGUGUGGCGGGGGAGCGAGCGUGUGCCCGGCCGCUGUCUGGCUCUGCUCGGAGCAGCACCCUGU